rnacentral:rRNA from 1 species
UCGGAUCAACCCAGGGAAACUUGGGCUAAUACCGGAUAAGCGCUUACGGGGAAAGAUUUAUCGCCGAAAGAUCGGCCCGCGUCUGAUUAGCUUGUUGGUGAGGUAACGGCUCACCAAGGCGACGAUCAGUAGCUGCUCUGAGAGGAUGAU